AAUGCUCUCUAUGGAAAUUUGCCAUUUAAUUACAUGUAUUCUAUUUUUUUCAGGAAAUCAGUGAAGAGUUUUUUGUUCUAAAUGCUCUUUAUGGAAAUUUGGCUAUUUUUUUUUCUCGCUACAAGAUCCCUGUUUGAAAAAUGUCGCACGUCGUACGAGUUGUCGCACGGUUUUGAUUUUACCGUUUCGAUAUCGAUUGGCCGAAAGGACGACAAACGUGCGACAAACACUCGACAUGCUCGACAUUGUUUUUUCCAUCGAUUUACCUUCAAUUCGACGUCGAUUAUCGUCGACGCAAACAGUUUGACAGUUCUCUUCAGUUGAUCUUGUUCGGACUUGAUCAAAUCAGAAAAACAAUAUUGUUGUAAAGGUUCGUGAGGAUUUUGGCUGGUUGAUUGACUUCCUGAUUUCAGCCUUCGCGACGGUGGAAGAGAACGUGAAACAUCGUUAACCCGGCGGAUCAUGCCGGAAGAUGGGACGGGAAGGAACCGGUCUGCGAUCGAAAGCGGAUUGGGAUCUGUAUCAAACAGUCUCCAAACAGGACAAUGAAAGUGUUGGUGGUGUUUGAUUUUUAGAGAAUGUCAAAAUCGCCAUUAUCAAUACUAAGACCUGGAAAAAAGAACAAACUUGCGGCCGAGUACAACCUCUGAGUGAAAGCGAUGGAGGUGAACGAACUACUCACGGGGCAGCACACGAAUUCUACCGGAUUGGCCAUCAUCAAGCGAAAUUUGGAAAAUUGUGACUGCAGUGAUAGUGAAUAUUUGGAAAACAAAGUGCCAGGCCAGUGAAAACUAAUAGAUAUCAAUAAAAAUCAGCAAAACAACAAAUAAAAUGAAUUUUAUUUCGAAAAUAACCUAAAAAUUCCGAAAUGACAGCACACGACAAUAGCACGACAUCCUAAAUAACAAAACCGUGCGACGUCGGUCGAAUGUCGUACGACAAUGUCGAACAAUUUCGAUGAUCGAUCGCACGACAAAUACGACAUUUUGGUGCAAAAACGUAUGACAUUCGUGCGAAUGUCGCACGACAUUGUCGUGCGACGUCUUACGAUUGCACGUACGACAAACGACGGACGUCGGACGGACUUUUCAGUCAGUGCGUCU